rnacentral:sRNA from 1 species
GCCAGGUGUGGUGGCAUACACCUAUAAUCUCAGCAACUGAGGAGGUUGAGGCAGGAGGAUCUCAAGUUUGAGGUCAGCCUGGGCAACUUAGUGAGACCCUGUCUCAA